GGCUUCGUGGUGUAGUGGUCAGCAUGCUGGGUGCGUAUUCCAGAGCUCCGUGGUUCGAGUCCCGGCGAAGGCCA
rnacentral:tRNA from 1 species